GGCAUGGUGCUGCAGUGGUUAGCACUGUUGCCUCACAAUAAAGAUGUUCAUGGUUUGAGUCCCAGCCGUUCUU